CAUCCGAUGACUGAAAGUAAGUGUAGAUCUUUUAAGUCUAUUAUAGUAAUUUAACGUUUACUUCUGGUGA
rnacentral:tRNA from 1 species